rnacentral:rRNA from 1 species
GACGAACGCUGGCGGCGUGCCUAAUACAUGCAAGUUGAGCGCUGAAGGUUGGUACUUGUACCAACUGGAUGAGCAGCGCACGGGUGAGUAACGCGUGGGGAAUCUGCCUUUGAGCGGGGGACAACAUUUGGAAACGAAUGCUAAUACCGCAUAAAAACUUUAAACACAAGUUUUAAGUUUGAAAGAUGCAAUUGCAUCACUCAAAGAUGAUCCCGCGUUGUAUUAGCUAGUUGGUGAGGUAAAGGCUCACCAAGGCGAUGAUACAUAGCCGACCUGAGAGGGUGAUCGGCCGCAUUGGGACUGAGACACGGCCCAAACUCCUACGGGAGGCAGCAGGAGGGAAUCUUCGGCAAGGGGCGAAAGACUGACCGAGAAACGCCGCGUGAGUGAAGAAGGAUGUCGGAUCGUAAAACUCGGUUGGUAGAGAAGAACGUUGGUGAGAGUGGAAAGCUCAUCAAGUGACGGUAACUACCCAGAAAGGGACGGCUAACUACGUG